UAGUGCCAUUUUUAUUGCGCCUUUUGUUUGGCACAUAUUGGGUGAGACCAACAUGAUUUUUCAUCUGUUUUUAAAAGCAGAUAAUGGAUGAUGCUUGUUUAGAGGCACAAUGCUUUCAUGCUUUCAUUUAAAGCAUUCUGUGCUAGAUGGGUCAUAAUACUGAUCUGUUUUCCUUCUUUUUCUUUUUUUUUUUUUUUUUUUUUUUCAAGUUGCCUAGGGACAACAUACUAGUGACAAAGAAAGAUUUCCCAAACAAGGGAUAUACAGAAGCCUGUGGAUCACACUAUUGUUUACACUGUUUUCUAAAAAUGAAGUCUCUCUUUCUCCUCCUGGUAAUCAUAACUAGAAAAAUAAAUAAUUGCAAAUCUAAUGAGACUACUGGUCCUGUGAAAGGAUUUUUGAAGAGUAUAUGGAUGUCUUCUAAGACAUGGAAUUAACUGAUUCAGUGAGCAUGAGUUACCUGUAACUGUGUGGGCUGCUGGAAACACACGCCUGGCUUGGUAAGACGUGACAAUGUGAUGGUGAAGCUGCCCAGGGUGUCAGUCCAUCCAGAGAGGUCUGUACUGCUAAGUGGAUGCAGAGGAGUUUGACUCUCAUAUCAGGUCGUUAACAAAAAUACUGAUGAGAACAAGACCCUGGAAAUUUUUGAAGAUGCAACUUGAAAUAUCCUGUACUGUUCACAGUAAGCCAACAGCAACUACUCUUGUGCAGAGUUAUGCCAACUAGUCUUGUACCUUCCAUGAAUUAUCAUUGGAGGACGUAUAACUGUGUGGAAAACUGGUUGCAGGACUGGAGCCUUCAUCUUUUUCACUGUGACGCUUCUUGAUGUGCCUACAUUAUUUUGCCCUUGCCAGUCCAUCAAUACACUGUUCCUACUGCUGCUGACUCAGAGAUGCAGGAGUAGCUUUGAUCGAUCUUCAGCAGAGUUGUGGAAAAAUGGAAACUCGUGAACAAGAAAGGCUUGGACAUAUGGAAGAACACAAGUUCCCCUCAGGAGAUCAAACAGAAAACAUAUUCCAGAAGGGUGACUUGAGUUGUCAGAAGCGUGAAAUGUCUCAAAAUACCAGUUUGAAAAUACCCUUUGAAGAUAAACAGAGGUGUAUGAGAAGAGAAACUGUAACGUGAGAGAAUUCCAGGACAUUGUAGUCUUGGGAAGAAUUUCACCAGGACAGAGCGACUGUCAGUGCGCAGUGUGCAGGAGAAGCUUCAAAUGCAGCUCAAACCUUCUGCACCAGUGUAGCCGCACGACAAGGAAGUGCAUGCAGUGUGUGAAGAGCUCCAGAUACAUCUCUGUGCUGACUCAGCACCAGGUGAUACACUGCGUGGAGCACAUGUUUGAGUGUGCAAAUUGUGGUGACUGUUUCACACACAGCUCCAGUCUCGCCAUCCACUGAAGGAUUCACAAACAGGAUAAGCCCUUUAUGUGCACAUCCUGUAGUCAGCAUUUCAACAUUGCUCCUGAGCUGGUGGCUCAUGUGGGGCUAGACACAUUACUUCAAUGUGGUGCUUUGUGCCUCAGCAAACUGGAACCACAUGCUUAAGGAGGAAGCAAUUGCUCUAUGGGACCACAUAGCCUCUAAAAAUUCUUGUUCAUCCUGUGUACCUUAAGCCUAUGGGCAGGUAAGACAUAAUAGUGGCUAAGCAAAAAAAAAAAAAAAAAAGAAAAUAAAAAGGCAGCCCCUAAUCCCAAGGGCCUGGUUGGAAUAUCAAUUAAUUGCUAAGAGUCCAGUGGCUGAGGAAUUAAUCCAUUCUUUUCUAGUGCAUAAACCUCUGUUGGGGUGGAAACAGAAGUUUGUAUGUAUUUGAAAAACAGAGAAAUAGGAUAGGUUUCUGGCUGAGAUGAGAGCUAAGAACUUUAAUUAUACCAUUUUGGUUCUGUGUUCAGGUACAGGAUGACCUUGUACUGAUUACUUUGCCUCUCUGUCUUUAUGACUCAUAGUUCAAAAAAGAAAUGUCUAUUUUAACUUAACUUUCUCAGCGUAGAGUGCAGACUAACGUGUGCCCAGAUACUACAGUCAUUAGAGACAGAUAAGUUUAGUAGCUUAAAGAGAAACUUAUUCUGAAAGUCUAGAUGUCUCUGUCCUUUGCUUUUUAAAGGAAGAUUUUUUCUAAAACUCUGGGCUUUAGAAGUUAUUUCAUCUUUUAAGGGAAUUUGGGUUCCUAACUUCCAAGGCACUUCUGAAUAUUAUUCUUUUGUAACCAUCCAGGGUGUCUGAAGGGAUCUGUACCACAGUGAUCCAUUCUUUUCUGCCCAUUGCUUAUAGAUCUGCAUAUCUCCUUGGCAUCAGCAGAAGGAUUGGUUUCUUGAGUUAAGAGGCUACUACUAAAAAUCUUAAUUUGCUAGCUUGUGUAAAUAACAUCUAGUGGAAAGAAAAGGAAUUACUUGAAAGUGAAACUUGAAUCUAUAGAAGUGAGAGAGUAGUGUCUGCUAUUAUGGUAAACGUCAAGAUAGUCAUACUGAAGAGGACUUCAAUUUUGUUGUACGAUUAUGCGUUACUGAGAACUGAGGUGAUUGCCGCAUCUUCCUUGUUACCUCUUGACUUUCACAGAGUAGUUUCUGCACUGAAAUUAGACUCCAUUUUAUGAGUCCACAGAACUAAAGGCAUUGAUUUAAAUUUUUCAUUUGUUGAAGAAAUUUCACUUUUUUUCACUGAGAUUAAAGGAUAAAGAGAGAAAACCUAGGGUACCAAAGCAUGCUAGAGAAGUUGUCAUUAUUAUAGUCUGUUUUUAAUGUGAGUCCUCCUUCCUUUAAGGCUCUGUUGGCUUUUUUUUUUUUUGUGGACAUAAUUAUAGUAUUAAUGCGAGAUGACUAUUUUUGUAUAUUAAUAAACACCAAGUAUUUUGAAGUUCAAGUUGUAUUUGCUUUUACCUCCUUUCCAGAGCUUGCCAUCUAAAGUACCUGGGACAAGGAUCUGAAUAAGGAGAUCCUGGUAUUUUUAAAAACUGAUUUAUAAGAGGCAAUAUUAUCUCUGACUCACCAAUCACUUUAUGCAUGUUUUAGAAGCCUGAGUUCACUUAACCUUCUAGUGCCUAUCUGUCUCCAUGUACCUAUUUCUUGUGACAGACUCCCAGUAAGUUGAGUCCUUUCAUCUUAUUCUCAGUAUUCUCUGCCCUGACAAGUCUCCUUACAAAAAUGAGAGACAAAUCCAGAGGUUGGAGCACCUUCAGGGCACCCUCCUAUUGUUUCCUUUCUAUGUUUAAAUCCUUUCUCUUCUUUUUUCCCCCCAAUCUUCCUUAUAUGUAACUGACUGUCAGAUAUAAAAUUGGGCAGCAGAUAACAGAAUAUUCUUGGAGUAGAAGAAAUACAGGUCUUUGUAGCUGUUUUAGAAAGUAGGUAGUUAAGCUGGUACUACUUGUGGGAAGGUUAGAUAUCCCAGGUUCCUAGUUUUAGGGUGGUAGGUUUAACAAGGUUCAAGACUCCCUUUUUGUUCUUGAAAUCUCUUUGAUUCCUUAGUGCUCAGUUAAACUUAAGUAGCAGCACAGUGGCAGAAAGAAAUCCUGGUUGAUUUGGACCAGUGAGAAGGCAUCUUUAAAAGUCCAUCUGAAGUCUGAAGUCCUAUAUUCAGACUCCCAUAGGAGAAUGCAGCAUGAAACUUUGAGCAUGUUGUUGUGGAUGUGAAUUUGCUGUGUGCUGAACUGGAAUUAAUAUUUUCUUAGAACUAGAUACAUUCUAGGUCUGAAGGCAGAAGCAAUGCAAAGACUUUUGCCAAUUUCAGAGGACUACUCCUCUUGCUUUUACUCUAAACCAGGGGUGUAGGAGUAGUUACAUUUGUACAGUCCUAAAAUUACAUUUGGCCCUUUGAAGGUGACCAUGAGGCUGAUGUGGCUCCCAGUGAAAAUGACACCCCUGCUCUAAACAAUGGACUUGUGCAGCAGUUACUUUAUUGCUAAUUUAGUUCAGUUAAUUCCAAUAUAGAUGGUUGAUAAGUUGCCAGUUAACUUAGACUAUGUAGAGAGUUUGAGGAUCGCUCAAUAUUUCAUUAUAAAGAGCAAUUAGGACAGAAAAAAAAUGCCUACUUAUGGUAGAUGCUAAACCUUAGAAAAUACCAAUUUUAAAUUAAUAUCUCAUAAGCCGUGAUAGGUUUCUAUACAGAUUUGUUCAAUGCUCAAGAACAAAGGCUAUCUGAGUUCUGUGUUGCAUUUUGUCAUAAAGCAACACCAGGCACUGGGUGAAAAGGGCAUGAAUACACUCAUGCUUGAGACAGAGGUCAGCCAUCAACUGCUACCUGUUCUCAUCUCAGCUGGAUGACCUGCUGUCUGAGGUGAUUCAACAGUUUUCUAAAGGAAGUUACAGAAGUGUCUGAACUUAUUCUUACUGGUGUGGAUGAUGUUAUCUGUCUUUAGUUACUCAGAUAAUCUGUUCAGAAAAAGAAAAAAAAAAGGACAAAAGAAUUGUCAUGUCUACCACCCAGAUAAUUUUCUAGAUAUUUCAUUUCUAAUAGUGUGCUGUCAGUUGCUGGGAUAAGAUGUGAACUGUUGCUCACUGCUCAGGAGAAGGCUCCUAAAACUUGAAGGCAAAUAUUGAGGAGAUAAACUAAUUUCAGGCUGGAAAUUGCCUAAAUACAUUAUUUAGAGUGGAGACAAUUGUACUUUUAAAUGAUUCUUCUUUAUCUGUUCGUGCAAAAUCCUGCACAGUGCAACCAUGCUUUACGGAUUCCAGAGCAGAGAGUGAGAAGCAUGAGCAGGUGUGCAGCUCUGGACAUUUCUCUGGGUGGUGUUAGGGAAGGUAAAGAGACAUUUGUUUGGCAAUGCCUCUCUCCUCAGCUGUGGUCUCAAGUAGGUGUCGCUUAGCAGUCAGGUUUAUCACACCCAGUGCCUUCCACCAAGCACCCAUCUCUGAACAUCUGAAGCUGUUAUUACUCCUAGAAUCCUCCUAGUUGGGGUAUCUACUUCUAGUUUUUCCUUCUAAAACUUAGUUUAGCAUUUUAUGUUACAGAGAACGUGUAGAGCACAAUGUCCCUCAGGAUGGAGAAUUAGAUACAGUAUGGAAAACAAAAUAAUUCUAAGUUUCACCAGUGUUUGAAGAAUGUUCAUCUUCUAAUGCUUAACAAAAUGGCAAGGACAAACUGAACAGUUACUAAUUCAGUUAAACAGACAUCAGCUCUUACUAUGUAGAAAGUAUUUUUUAUGUUUUUAAGUGUUGGAGUAUGCAUUUCAGCAACUUAUUCCUAAGUGUAAAUUUUUAUUUGAUUUUUUUCGUUAAUAAACAUACUGAGACUAAAAAGUCUAUUUCAUGGAAGUAUAUUGAUUUAAAUUCCUGUUAGACAAUGCAUACCUUUGACACAAACAAACAGAAGCAAUGUUUUGUCAUCCUUUUGAAAUCGUCCCAUAUAACGAUGUGCUUUUGUGAACACAAAUGCUCCAUUUUUAGUGUAGAUAAACUGUGCAUGAAUUCAGGCUCUAAAAUCCAACGUCUCUAAAUCUCAAUAUUUCCCCCCACGACACAGUGUGGAAGCUGUUGGAACCAUUUUAAUUUCCAUUCAGUGUCAGACAAAUAACCCUCUCCCAAAUAAGCCUGGCCUGUGAAAAAACUCUCAGUACCUGAAAAAGCAUUUUACAUAAGUGUUGGAAAAAUAGGGAAGAGCUACAACCUGUUCUGGCCUUAACCAUGUGAGCAGCAAGCAAAGAUUAGUUUAUAGUACAAGAAAAAAAGCACUCGCACAUGAAAGGACUUCUGUCUUUCUAUGCAGUUCUUCAGUGGUUAAAAAAAAUAUUUCCUAAUACAUUUUCUGAUUACUUAAGUAUUAUUUUUUUCUUUAAUUUAAAGCUACCACUAUUACAUAUGUGCAUUUUAAUGACUUGCUCUUCCAAAUUAUAUGUAUCAAAUUAGCUUAUUCUAGAAAAAGAGGUCAUGAGAUGGUCUUGCACAAUCAGCCUUGUUUCUCAAAUUACUUCCUUAUCUAUGAAAAUGCAGUUAUCACUUUUGAUUACUCUUAGAUAAUUAAAUAAUGACAAAAAUGUUUUUAUUUAUUAAGCAGGUUUAGCUCAUACUGCCUUUUGAUAUAUGAUCUUAAUUCCCAUUAAUGCAGCUUUUGCUUCAAAUAUUGCAAGCAAAUAUCCCUUUUUAUUUCUGUAUUGUGGACUAGAUGCUAAAAUAGUAUAAAGCAUUUAGAUUACUAAAGGAGAUUUUGCAAUCAGCACUUUUGUAGAUUUUUAACGUAAUAUAUAUAACGUAAAUAUACUUGGGUAUUAAAACUUCCCAAAUAAUUGUCUUUUUGCUUCAUUACACUGCUGGGGAGAAGAUGUGAUCUGGGGCUGUCCCCUUCCUGAAGUCCUUGCAGGUUCCCUGUCAGAUAGGAGGAGAAUGAGAGGCUGAUGUUUCUGGCACUGAAUGUUAAUGACUGUUCCCUGAUAACUGCAGUGUUGCUUGGCAGAUCCUGGCCUUCCUGUCUCUGUUCGUCACUUUUACAACUGGAUAGGAAAUGGGAAGUCAGAAGUUUUUGCUUUACAGAUAAAUUAUUGCCAAUAAUUUAUUGCCACACCUGGAAUAUUGUGUCCAUUUCUGGGUCCCUCAGUUCAGGAAAGACAGGAAACUGCUGGAGAGAGUCCAGCACAGGGCAACAAAGAUGAUUAAGGGAGUGGAGCAUCUCCCUUAUGAGAAAAGGCUGAGGGAGCUGGGCCUCUUAGCUUGGAGGAGACUGAGGGGUGACCUUAUUAAUGUUUGUAAAUCUGUAAAGGGUGAGUGUCACAAGGACGGAGCCAGGCUCUUCUCGGUGACAACCAGUGGUGAUGCAAGGGGUAAUGGGUUCAAACUGGAACACAAGAGGUUCCACUUAAAUUUGAGAAGAAGCUUCUCAGUGAGAGUAACAGAACACUGGAACAGGCUGCCCAGGGAGGUUGUGGAGUCUCCUUCUCUGGAGACAUCCAAAAACUGCUUGGACACAUUCCUGUGUAACCUCAUCUAGGUGUUCCUGCUCCAGCGUGGGGAUUGGACUAGAUAAUCUUUUGAGGUCCCUUCCAAUCCCUUACAUUCUGUGAUUCUGUGAUAAGCUUAUUGGUUUUCAUAUGCUCACUUGAAUUUCUUAGUAUGGUCUUAGCUUUAGAAUAUUGAUGAUUGCAAUUUUAAAAUCAAAGUUAUUAAUCUUGUUUGAUUUGAAGGAGUGAAUUCAAACAAAAUACUGAGUUUCUUUCUGGUUUAGGUUUUGGAAAAAGAGAAGAAGGGAAAAGGACUGAAAUACCUAUCUGGAGAAAACAAAGAAUAAAAUUGGAACUCCAGUUAGAAGAGAAAAGACAAUUAAAAAAAAAAAAAAAAAGGAUACAAAAUAGAAGAUAAAGGAAAGAGAAGAAAUUAGAUUGAACCCUCCCCAAUAUAGAUUUUCUUCUCAUUUACGUUAAUGGAAUUCUACUAGAAUUCCAGUGGAUAUUCUUAUUUACAAGUGAUUUUCGAAUGGCUGUGUGAGUAUUCUGUGCAUCAGACUUGAGAUAUGUGUGGUCCUGGGUGGGCCACAGGAGAAGAAAGCCUAAAGCUUGAAAUCCUGUACAUCCUUUUUGUGUGAAUAAAUCAGGUCCUUAAAGGGAGAAAAGGGAGUACUCACUACCAUUUUUAUAAAAUAGAAAUAGUAAGAAUAGAUGUUUUCUGUCUUAAUUUGUUUUAAAUUACUUCUGAGUAGUCUAUUGAGGAACAGAAAACAAUGACCUUAGUGAAUGGCUACAUAUUUCUCAGUGUAGACAGUACGUACUUAUACAAACGCAUUGCUGGAGAUUAGAAGUUGUGAUUGAAGUCUGUGGAAAUACCAUACUGUGGAACUAAUAUACUGAAGAUGAGGCCCAAAGGAUCUCAUCUCAGUGUGAAUUUUCUUACAGGGAAUUUAACCAAACUUGAGCUUAUUAAAAACAAAACCAAAUUAUCUGUUCUGUGAGCCCUUUGUGUUGGUUGUGUUCUUUGUACUGGAAGUCCUCUCUUUUGCUGCUGUCCAUUUUUUUCAGAAAGUACCCUGUAGGAACACUUUUUUAGCAUUUGCUAGCAUCUUUUUUGCCUUUUUGACCUUUCUAUAGCAUUUAUGACUAGCCUACCUGACUUUUCCGAUUGCAACAAUUGUUGUGAGACUGUGAUAUGGUGACUUACUAUGUUAUUUUACUUGCAUUCUGGUUUUGUUACUUCUUUGUUUCCUUUAAUACAAACAAGAUGCAAAGUCUAUAUUUGUGAAACAAUGCUCUCUAUUUUGAUAACCAAUCAAAUGCAAAAAUUAGAGUCAAGGUGGAAUACAGUUUAUUAAUCAAAACUGGAUAAACCUCAAAUAUUCAUUGCUUGGUUAAUUACAUAAAAUUUUAGUUAGAACAACUUUACAAUGGGUGUGCAUGCAGUGGAGAUAACUAAAAAUAGUGUGUAAGUAGUGUCGACAUAUCCGACUUAAAGUUUUCUAUAUCUGAGCUAUCCAGAUGCUAAGCACAGAUGUAUCUGUCACAGCAUAGAGACAGUAAGGCCUAAAUUGUUACCAGCAUACAAUCUAAAUAAUAAAAUUCUAGUUCAGAAAUUUCUGCUCUGGCCUAUGGUCAAAGUAAUAUAGAGCCACUUGACACUGAGGCUGUGGCAGCUAAUAGGGAAAAACUUAUGUGACUGGAUAAUAACAGCUGUGCACAGGACAAGAAAAUUAAAGUUGUAUAAGUUGCUGUAAUUCUGAUGUGUUUGGAUUUUUUUGAGCACCAAUUUUUGCAUUAUUAAUAUUUAGUUAAGUGUGUGAAGUCUGAGCAUUAGCUACCUAUACUCACAGCAGAAAGUAUUCUCCUUGUAUUAGCAAUAUAGAGAAGAGAGGUGUUCAUCAUGCUAGACAGAUCUGGACAUCUUUGCACACAUACUCAAGAAGUUAAGUUCUACUCUGCAGCAAUAUGGAUCAAAUUUGGCUGUCAGAUGAUUCAUAAAUGAAAGUGUGUCUCCAAAUCAUAACAUCAUUUUCCAUAGUUUUCUCUGAAACUGCCUUAGAUUUGAUUAAGUUACUGCCAGAACAAAGUACAUUUUCUAUGCACUAAUCAUCAGAAAUAGACUUAUACUUUUAAUUUAUUCCUAAUGAGUAAUACAUACUGUGAAUGAUUGUUCUUUGUUUAUGGAUGACUGCUGGAGCAGAUUGAAUUUUAUAAUAAUUCAUGAGAAAUUAACAAGCAGUCAUAAUGAAUAAACUUAGGGACAGUUUAAUGACUAUUCAUCAGCAGUUCAUGCACAACAAAUCCAAAUGUUUAUCAAAGAUGUUAAUAAACAUAGUGCACAGGCAGCCUUAAUGAACUGAUAAAGAACAUGAAUGAACAUUCAUUAUGAAUUUCCCUUUGCUGAGAAUGACAUCCUCAGAAGAGGCCUAAUAUUACAAAUUAUUUUACUUUUAAAGAAUAGAAACAUUUAUGUUUCAAAAAACCCCAAGUAUUUAGGAUAGAGGUGAAAAUAAAAUAGAGAUUAAAGUUUAUAUUGAGACUGAGAAUGAGUUGUGGUGGAGUUGACUAGUAUCUGU